CCUUCAUCGGACAUAGACAUUUGUCCAUCUUCUGUCAGCAAGUUAAUGGCUAAGCCGAACGGAAAAAAGGGUGCAACAGUUGAUAAGGAUGAGGAAGUUAUGUCCGUUGUUUCAUUUGUCGAGUUAGCUUCUAGCACCGACAAGAAUAAGGGGAAGAAAGUUUACUACAGUGAAGCUCGUGGCAUAUCUUUGACAUCCGAAAGGAUUCGACCGGUACUAAGUCAUAGAUGGCUGUCGGACGAUAUUAUUGAUGCUUAUAUGGGACAUUUGGAGCUGAGCGUUGGUCAUGAUCGUUACCUCUGUCCAGCGUGGAGGUCCAAA